rnacentral:misc_RNA from 1 species
GAAGUACAGGCCCUCUCGUAGGGCUAAACUUCCACCCUUUGUUAACCACACUUUGUUGCUUUGGCGAGACGCCCUCGGGCCACCGGCUUCGGCUGGUGAGCGCUCGCCAGAGAAAACCCAAACCCAAACCAUUUAAGUUGUCGUCUGAAAAACAAGUUUAAUAAUUAAAACUUUCAACAACGGAUCUCUUGGCUCU